ACCAAGAGCAUAUUUCACAGACCUAGAACAAACUCUCCAAAAAUUCAUCUGAAAUAAAAAGAGACCCCGAAUUGCUGCAGUGAUCCUGAAAAAGAACAAAGUAGGUGGGAUCUCAAUACCAGAUAUCAAGCUGUAUUACAAAGCCACGGUUCUCAA